UACGGAGGGUGCGAGCGUUGCUCGGAAUCAUUGGGCGUAAAGCGUACGCAGGCGGCUCGAUAAGUCGGGUGUGAAAGCCCAGGGCUCAACCCUGGAAAUGCGCCCGAAACUGCCGAGCUUGAGUGCGGGAGAGGGAAGCGGAAUUCCUGGUGUAGAGGUGAAAUUCGUAGAUAUCAGGAGGAACACCGGUGGCGAAGGCGGCAUCCUGGACUGGUCCUGACACUCAUGAGCGAAAGCGUGGGGAGCGAUCCGG
rnacentral:rRNA from 1 species